UUGAUCCUGGCUCAGGACGAACGCUGGCGGCGUGCCUAAUACAUGCAAGUAGAACGCUGAAGAGAGGAGCUUGCUCUUCUUGGAUGAGUUGCGAACGGGUGAGUAACGCGUAGGUAACCUGCCUUGUAGCGGGGGAUAACUAUUGGAAACGAUAGCUAAUACCGCAUAACAAUGGAUGACACAUGUCAUUUAUUUGAAAGGGGCAAUUGCUCCACUACAAGAUGGACCUGCGUUGUAUUAGCUAGUAGGUGAGGUAACGGCUCACCUAGGCGACGAUACAUAGCCGACCUGAGAGGGUGAUCGGCCACACUGGGACUGAGACACGGCCCAGACUCCUACGGGAGGCAGCAGUAGGGAAUCUUCGGCAAUGGGGGCAACCCUGACCGAGCAACGCCGCGUGAGUGAAGAAGGUUUUCGGAUCGUAAAGCUCUGUUGUAAGUCAAGAACGAGUGUGAGAGUGGAAAGUUCACACUGUGACGGUAGCUUACCAGAAAGGGACGGCUAACUACGUGCCAGCAGCCGCGGUAAUACGUAGGUCCCGAGCGUUGUCCGGAUUUAUUGGGCGUAAAGCGAGCGCAGGCGGUUUGAUAAGUCUGAAGUUAAAGGCUGUGGCUCAACCAUAGUUCGCUUUGGAAACUGUCAAACUUGAGUGCAGAAGGGGAGAGUGGAAUUCCAUGUGUAGCGGUGAAAUGCGUAGAUAUAUGGAGGAACACCGGUGGCGAAAGCGGCUCUCUGGUCUGUAACUGACGCUGAGGCUCGAAAGCGUGGGGAGCGAACAGGAUUAGAUACCCUGGUAGUCCACGCCGUAAACGAUGAGUGCUAGGUGUUGGAUCCUUUCCGGGAUUCAGUGCCGCAGCUAACGCAUUAAGCACUCCGCCUGGGGAGUACGACCGCAAGGUUGAAACUCAAAGGAAUUGACGGGGGCCCGCACAAGCGGUGGAGCAUGUGGUUUAAUUCGAAGCAACGCGAAGAACCUUACCAGGUCUUGACAUCCCGAUGCUAUUUCUAGAGAUAGAAAGUUACUUCGGUACAUCGGUGACAGGUGGUGCAUGGUUGUCGUCAGCUCGUGUCGUGAGAUGUUGGGUUAAGUCCCGCAACGAGCGCAACCCCUAUUGUUAGUUGCCAUCAUUCAGUUGGGCACUCUAGCGAGACUGCCGGUAAUAAACCGGAGGAAGGUGGGGAUGACGUCAAAUCAUCAUGCCCCUUAUGACCUGGGCUACACACGUGCUACAAUGGUUGGUACAACGAGUUGCGAGUCGGUGACGGCAAGCUAAUCUCUUAAAGCCAAUCUCAGUUCGGAUUGUAGGCUGCAACUCGCCUACAUGAAGUCGGAAUCGCUAGUAAUCGCGGAUCAGCACGCCGCGGUGAAUACGUUCCCGGGCCU
rnacentral:rRNA from 1 species